UGUGCCUACUAAAAGUAUUAUUGGCAUGCCACGGCCCACGAGGGCCCCAGACGGUUCGCCACCGGAGGGCGACGAUCCUAAUGACCCCGUAAACGUGGACACUGCGAAAGAUUAAAGAAAA